ACACCCGUGAGAAUGCCCCCAUGGCUCCCUUUCCUGGAGCAAGGAGCAGGUAUCAGGCGCGCUACGGCAGCCCAUAACACCUUGCUUAGCCACGCCCCCAAGGGACAUCAGCAGUGAUAAGUAUUAAGCCAUAAGUGAAAACUUGACUUAGUUAAAGCUUGAAGGGCCGGUAAAACUCGUGCCAGCCACCGCGGUUAUACGAGGGGCCCAAGUUAACAGAACCUCGGCGUAAAGCGUGGUUAGAUAACAAUAAACUAAAGCCGAAUACUCUCGAGGCUGUUAUACGCACCUGAGAGCUAGAAGCCCCACUACGAAAGUGGCUUUACCUAAUUUGAACCCACGAAAGCUAAGGCACAAACUGGGAUUAGAUACCCCACUAUGCUUAGCCCUAAACUUAGAUAACUAACCUACACAUGUUAUCCGCCCGGGUACUACGAGCAUCAGCUUGAAACCCAAAGGACUUGGCGGUGCUUAAUAACCCCCUAGAGGAGCCUGUUCUAGAACCGAUAACCCUCGUUAAACCUCACCCUCUCUUGUUCGUCCC
rnacentral:rRNA from 1 species